rfam:Apaloderma vittatum contig12592, whole genome shotgun sequence.
GGCUGGUUAGCUCAGUUGGUUAGAGCGUGGUGCUGAUAACACCAAGGUCGGGGGUUUGAUCCCUGUUCUGUCC